rnacentral:rRNA from 1 species
AUGGCAAGUCAAACGUACGCCCUGUUAUCCUUUUUCAAUAAUAAAAAAUGCAUGCAGACGUAUUUUGGAAAGCCCAUUUUGAUCAGGUUUGCUUCUUGUGUUUUCGACUGGUUUACUUGUUUGCAUAGAGAGGGACAAGGAAUUAAGAGAAAGAGAAGGCUCGCCACCACUAUUUGCAUGUCAAAUCUGAAGUGGGGAGCUGCAUCAAGUAUCUGGAGAAGAAAGAGGAGCAUACCUACAGUAAUACAAUGCCCAGUCUUCUAUAUUAGGCAGCAAAUGGUUCUGAUGCAGAAAUACCCACAUUUGAACCCUGAGGCUGAGAUGAUCACUUUGUCAUUAUUUAUUCAAAUUAGAUGGGCCAAUAAAUAUUAA